UUGGAGGGCAAGUCUGGUGCCAGCAGCCGCGGUAAUUCCAGCUCCAAUAGCGUAUAUUAAAGUUGUUGCAGUUAAAAAGCUCGUAGUUGAAUUUCGGGGUUAGUAGGUUGGUCAUGCCACUGGUAUGUACUGGCCUCACUGAUUCCUCCUUCCUGAUGAGCCGUAAUGCCAUUAAUUUGGUGUUGCGAGGAAUCUGGACUGUUACUUUGAAAAAAUUAGAGUGUUCAAAGCAAGCUAACGCUGAAUACAUUAGCAUGGAAUAAUGAAAUAGGACGUUCGAUCCUAUCUUGUUGGUUUCUAGGAUUGACGUAAUGAUUAAUAGGGAUAGUUGGGGGCAUUAGUAUUCAAUUGUCAGAGGUGAAAUUCUUGGAUUUAUUGAAGACUAACUACUGCGAAAGCAUUUGCCAAGGAUGUUUUCAUUAAUCAAGAACGAAAGUUAGGGGAUCGAAGACGAUCAGAUACCGUCGUAGUCUUAACCAUAAACUAUGCCGACUAGGGAUCGGAUGAUGUUAUUUUUAAUGACUCAUUCGGCGCCUUACGGGAAAC
rnacentral:rRNA from 1 species